GCGAACGUUUAGCGGCGGGCCCUAACACAUGCAAAGUUCGGCACGAGAAAAGGGCUUCGGCCCCUAGUAAAGUGGCGGACGGGUGAGUAACACGUGGGGUAAUCUUACCUCUCAGUGGGGGGAUAACAGUCCGAAAGGAUUGCUAAUACCGCAUUCGUCGGCGGGGUCUUCGGACGCCGCCGGGAAAGCCGGCCCUCUCCAUGGAAGCUGGCGCUGAAGAGAGGAGGCCCGCGUCCCAUCAGCUAGUUGGUAGGGGUAACGGGCCCUACCAAGGCAAAAGACGGGUAGCUGGUCUGAGAGGAUGAUCAGCCACACUGGGACUGAGACACGGCCCAGACUCCUACGGGAGAGCAGCAGUGGGGAAUAUUGGGCAAUGGGCGCAAAGCCUGACCCAGCCACGCCGCGUGAGUGAUGAAGGCCUUCGGGUCGUAAAAGCUCUGUGGGGAGGGACGAAACCACGGCUGGCUAAUAUAUCCAGGCGGUCCUCUGACGGUACCUCCUUAGCAAGCCACCGGCUAACUCCGUGCCAGCAGCCCGCGGUAAUACGGAGGGUGCAAACGUGUUGCUCGAAUCAUUGGGCGUAAAGCGCACGUAGGCGGUCCGGCCAAGGCGGGGAGUGAAAUCCCUCGGCUUAACCGAGGAAGUGCUUUCCGAACUUAACCGGACUUGAAUACUGAAGAGGAUCGCGGAAUUCCCGGUGUAGAGGUGAAAUUCGUAGAUAUCGGGAGGAACACCAGUGGCGAAGGCGGCGAUCCUGGGCAGAUUAUUGACGCUGAUGUGCGAAAGCGUGGGGAGCAAACAGGAUUAGAUACCCUGGUAGUCCACGCCGUAAACGAUGGAUGCUAAUCGUCGCGGGUAUUGACCCCCUGCGGUAAACGCAGUUAACGCAUUAAGCAUCCCGCCCUGGGGAGUACGGCCGCAAGGCUUUAAAACUCAAAGGAAUUGACGGGGGCCCGCACCAAGGCGGUGGAGCAUGUGGUUCAAUUCGACGCAAUGCGCAGAACCUUACCUGGGUUAAAAUCCACCGGAACCCUGCAGAGAUGUGGGGGGUGCCCGCAAGGGAGCCGGUGAGAAGGUGCUGGCAUGGGCUGUCGUCAGCUCGUGUCGUGAGAUGGUUGGGUUAAGUCCCGCAACGAGCAGGCAACCCCUGUUCGUCAGUUGCCAACAGGAAAGGCUGGGCACUCUGGCGAGACUGCCGACGUUAAGGUCCGGAAGGAAGGUGGGGAUGACGUCAAGUCCUCAUGGCCCUUAUGCCCAGGGCUACACACGUGCUACAAUGGCUGGUACAGAGGGUCGCGAAGCUCCGCGAGAGGUAAGCCCAAUCUCAAAAAACCAGUCUCAGUUCAGAUAGAAGUCUGCAACUCGAACUUCUUGAAGUCGGGAUCGCUAGUAAUCCCGGAUCAGGCACGCCGGGGGUGAAUACGUUUCCCGGGCCCUUGUACACACCGCCCGUCACACCAUGGGGAGUCAAGUUGCUCCAGAAGUGGCUUGCCCUAACCGUAAGGAGGGCGGUCCCUAAAGGAGUGGCUGGUAACUGGGGUG
rnacentral:rRNA from 1 species